GGCGCUGCUUCCUGUGUGCGACGUGUUCGUGCAGGCGCGAGGGAUGGAGGAGGGACCCGUGCGUCCGUGCGACAACGUGACCAUCUCGCCUGUAGCGCCUUCAUCAGCAGUCAAGCAAAUCGCCAAUAAGGAGUUGGCUGGGACGAGCAAAAUCAUGAUUAACAGCAGCCAUAAUUGACCCAGCAUGCAAAGGGGUUCAUUCAAGGUGCCUCCCGUCCCAAGUUUUUGUUCAAGCUCUUGGUUGAACACCUGACCGUAUGUAGGAACCACAAGUUGCUUUGGAACCUUUAGUAACUUGCCACAUCAUACUUUGAAAUCUGCAACUUUUUACCAUGAAUAUAUGUUCCAUGAAAGCCAUAAUGAUCCACAACAAAGAUAAACUUUUUAAUUGUGAACACAUUACUUGCCUUGUCCGGAAACCACACAGGGUUAAUGGGUCUGAUACUACAAAUUAAAACAAAGAAACAUUUGAUCUCCAUGAUUUUUUUU